UCAGACGAUGCGUCAUGCAUAUCAAUAAGCGGAGGAAAAGUACUACCUACGCUUAGGAUGUUGACACACGCGUGUGCUCGGCUCUAUACAUGACUCUGCGCAUAUCAAUAAGCGGAGGAAAAGAGGGGCUAUUACCUACGCUUAGGAUGUUGACGAGACUGUCGAUCUCAUCUAUACAUGACUCUGCGCAUAUCAAUAAGCGGAGGAAAAGAAACUAACAAGGAUUCCCCUAGUAACGGCGAGUGAAGCGGGAAGAGCUCAAAUUUGAAAUCUUAAAGGGUUUCCCUUUACGAAUUGUAGUUUAAAGAAGUGUUUUCUGUUGAGGUUUUGGUAAAAGUUCUUUGGAAUAGGACAUCAUAGAGGGUGAGAAUCCCGUAUUUGACCUUUACUUUCAACUUUGUGAUACACUUUCAAAGAGUCGGAUUGUUUGGGAAUGCAGUCCAAAAUGGGUGGUAAAUUUCAUCUAAAGCUAAAUAUUGGCGAGAGACCGAUAGCGAACAAGUACCGUGAGGGAAAGAUGAAAAGAACUUUGAAAAGAGAGUUAAACAGUACGUGAAAUUGUCAAAAGGGAAGCGUUUGACACCAGUGUUGUUUUUCUGAAAAUCAAUUAAAGAACUGUUUAUGCUAAGCUGUUUAGACUUUAUCAGCUAUCUGUUUAGUUUUGAGCUUUUCUUUAAUGCACUUUUCAGUUAACAAGUCAACAUCAAUUUCUUUUGCUGUAAAAAAGCUUGAGGAAGGUGGCUUGAGAUUCGUCUUAAGUGUUUAUAGCCUCUUGCCUAUGCAGUCGGAGAGAUUGAGGUCUGCAGCGUAGAUCCUUCGGGGCUAAAUGCAUUUGUGCUAAGUUAUAGCAUUUUAUAGACAACUUGUUGACUAUGAUUUGUCUUGUAGCUUACUCGCUUAUGUUAUUUUACCUACGCUUAGGAUGUUGAUCUACAGAGCGAGAGU
rnacentral:rRNA from 1 species